rnacentral:rRNA from 1 species
GAUGAACGCUAGCUACAGGCUUAACACAUGCAAGUCGAGGGGCAGCAUGGUCUUAGCUUGCUAAGGCCGAUGGCGACCGGCGCACGGGUGAGUAACACGUAUCCAACCUGCCGUCUACUCUUGGACAGCCUUCUGAAAGGAAGAUUAAUACAAGAUGGCAUCAUGAGUCCGCAUGUUCACAUGAUUAAAGGUAUUCCGGUAGACGAUGGGGAUGCGUUCCAUUAGAUAGUAGGCGGGGUAACGGCCCACCUAGUCUUCGAUGGAUAGGGGUUCUGAGAGGAAGGUCCCCCACAUUGGAACUGAGACACGGUCCAAACUCCUACGGGAGGCAGCAGUGAGGAAUAUUGGUCAAUGGGCGCAGGCCUGAACCAGCCAAGUAGCGUGAAGGAUGACUGCCCUAUGGGUUGUAAACCUCUUUUAUAAAGGAAUAAAGUCGGGUAUGUAUACCCGUUUGCAUGUACUUUAUGAAUAAGGAUCGGCUAACUCCGUG